rnacentral:rRNA from 1 species
UACGGGGGGGGCAAGCGUUGUUCGGAAUUACCGGGCGUAAAGGGCUCGUAGGCGGCCAACUAAGUCAUACGUGAAAUCCCUCGGCUUAACCGGGGAACUGCGUCUGAUACUGGAUGGCUUGAGAUUGGGAGAGGGAUGCGGAAUUCCAGGUGUAGCGGUGAAAUGACGUGAGAUAUCUGGAGGAACACCGGUGGCGAAGGCGGCAUCCUGGACCGACACUGACGCUGAGGAGCGAAAGCCAGGGGAGCAAAGCGGG